rnacentral:rRNA from 1 species
ACGCUCGACACCUACGGGAGGUAGCAGUGGGGAAUAUUGCACAAUGGGGGAAACCCUGAUGCAGCGACGCCGCGUGAGCGAAGAAGUAUCUCGGUAUGUAAAGCUCUAUCAGCAGGGAAGAAAAUGACGGUACCUGACUAAGAAGCCCCGGCUAACUACGUGCCAGCAGCCACGGUAAUCUGAGCGGGCUGGCAAGGC